GGCGAGAUAGCUCAGCUGGUAGAGCACACGACUGAAAAUCGUGGUGUCCCCGGUUCGAAUCCGGGUCUCGCCA
rnacentral:tRNA from 1 species